rnacentral:ncRNA from 1 species
CGAGAAUAGAGUAGCAGGGUGGUGUCUCCUGCGCCCGCAUAUCGUGGGUUCUUUCCCUGCCGCGN